rnacentral:rRNA from 1 species
UACGAAGGGGGCUAGCGUUGCUCGGAAUUACUGGGCGUAAAGCGUGCGUAGGUGGUCUGUUAAGUCUGAUGUGAAAGCCCUGGGCUCAACCUGGGAAUUGCAUUGGAUACUGGCAGGCUAGAGUGCGGUAGAGGGUAGUGGAAUUCCCGGUGUAGCAGUGAAAUGCGUAGAGAUCGGGAGGAACACCAGUGGCGAAGGCGGCAUCCUGGACCGACACUGACGCUGAGGCGCGAAAGCCAGGGGAGCAAACGGG